UAUAAAGUGCAGAUGAAUAAGUAACAGUAAGAGCAGCUGUUUUGUAAAACCGGUUUAAACUGGUUUUCACAUAGACUGUUGAGAUAAGAUCGACGAGCAUGAAAAUAUAAUCCAUGAUAAAUAACUCUUGGAAUGUUGCUUUUAACAAUAAAGUCAACUUUUAUGUUGAAUAAUUAUAAAACAUGGUGUUUUGACAACAUUCAUGAAAUACAUUUUUUAACUGAUAACAUAGAAAUCACUGUUUGAGAACUACUUAUGUAAAUUACUCGUAAAUUCAUACGCAGUGAAUAGGUGUUGCAUUUAGAGGCAUUUAAACAUCACGGAAUUUAAUGGAAAAACACAGUAGAAUGUAAAUAUAUUUAUUUACACUUUUACCGAGUACCCGGGUACUCGAUCGGAAAAACGUCCGAGUAACCGAGUACUAAAAUUGACCGAUUUGACAUCCCUAGUUAAUGAUGUUGUUUACCUUUUGUCUGAGUAGUGAUUGUUUAUUAUGUACAUGCAUUGUUUGCAUUGUGCUUGAUGCCCGGUAACAGUUUAUUGUAAGAGAUGUUUUAUUAGAUUGUUUUAUAGAUUUUUUAUUACCAAGUGUAAUUCCUUUUUUACAUCUGUUCAUUUGAAGGUGAUAUCAAACUGAUUUUAGACAGGGAGUGUUCUGUCUCCGGAGUAUUUUUUAUUGUUUCCAAAUUUGUCCGGUCUUGAUAUUCUAUUCAUGUCGUAAAGGAACGCUGUAUGUACGUUGAACCAUGUGCUAUCGAGCACACACACAUCUUUAAUGUCCAAUCUAAUAUCUAUUAGUACUGUUACAGUCAUGUAUGUCCCGCACAGCGUAAGUGUUUUUCAUAAAUGUUUUCUUCAUUAGAAUUUGUGUAAAUUGAUUAUUUACUACUUUAUACAUGCAAAAAGAUAGUAUUAUUGUUUACAUAGUGUGUAGAGGAAACUCGAAACGAUUUAAGUCUUGAUACGUAACUGAACAAAUUGCACCCUUAUCUCAUUCUAAGUAUAAUAACUUUACUAGUAUUCUCGAGACUUAUUUCUAUGUCUUAUACGUAUAAACUUUUUGUAAACAUGUGCUAGAUAAGUUGAGUAUUUUCAUGCAUAGGUAGAAAAUGUGUAUUGCUAGAUUGUGACAUGAUAUUGUGUGUAUUUUAUUUAGUCUGCAUAAGUUACUGUGUAGGAGAUAAGUGAGCUGUAUAAAUAGCUAAAUUUGUGUAUUUUGCUCACAUUUCUAGAUUUCUAAGAGAAACCUUGUUUGAAUUAUUUAAGUAUGGUCACAGUAUCUGUCACAAUCCUGUAUGUUUGUAUUGUCUGUUUCGUUUAUCAGAGAUUGUAUUGUAAUAUUAUGUUUUGUUAUUUUUUUCAGUUUCUUACCAUUUAUAAAUACACAUGCAACAAUAAAGUGGAUGCUCAGUGUAUUUUUCGGGUUAUACUAGCAGGUAUUUGCGAACUGUUACAGUGUAUAAGGAUUUGUUCGUUAAAAAUUGUCGGUUGUCUACCGUGUAUGUAACGGGAAGUUUGGAAGUGACUGUUCAUGACUCCAUGGGACAAACCUGCGAUCCUCCAAUCAGGGUUUACUCAAGAAACGGAAAAAUGCCAACGACAGACCUGCAAUAUACUCCUGUUAUGAGUCUGUUCACCAGGACAAUUGGGACCCCCUCCAGGACCCCUACGAUUUGUGUUUCUUCUACUGGGACACCCAAGAGACUUCUACUGAGACCUUCACUGAUAGUGGUUCUUCUUCUGGGACCUCCAUAGAGACUUCCAACGAAAGGAUUGACAGUCUGUCCACUGGGACCUCUACGAACAUCCCCGUCUUUGGCCUUUCGGACCAUAAUAGUUGAUUGGUAAAUUGUUUUCUAUGUUUACUUUGUCAAAGGUCUGAUAGAAAAUAAAAUGAUUAUUAGUAUACCUUGUUUUAGAAAAAAAAAUGUUUUAAUUAUUAAUACACUCAAUACACUUGGAAGGAAGGAAAACAUGGAAUUAGGGUCAGAUGUAGAAAACUGCCCAAGGAUAUCGCUGCAAUAUUUGUUCUGCAAGGUCCUUAAUCCUUGUGGCAGAGCCUCCAUUUCUUUGACUCUUUUUUAUUACUUUUCUGGCCGUUUUUUGAUGAAUUUUCCUUCUUUUCAUCUUUGUUUUCCUUGAGACCUUCCUUUUUUCCAUCAUCAUUCUUCUUCUUCUUUUUGGGACUCAGAGUGUCCUCUUGCUCCUCUGACUCCUGGAUCUUUUUGGUUUUACUCCUCUGUCUUUUUUCGGAACUUUCGUCUGAAUUCAUUUCAAAAGAAAACAGUUCCUCUGGAACAUCAUUCAGUCCCUUCUGCUUUUUUAAGAUUUUUGAAUAAGAAGUGUUGCAAACUUGUUUAAAUUUUCUUCGUCUGAAAAACAAAAGACUUGCUGUUAACUUUUAUGAUAUAAUACCUACGAGUUAUAUUGAUAUUAAGUUUAGAGAGGAAGGCAGCCUUCAUUUUGUUUAUAAGUGUUGAGGCAUGAAAAUUAGUGGGAAUUAUUGGUUGGUUAAUGUAUUAAGGUAUUUUUCAGAAUCCAAAAUAUGGAAAAUAUUAACUAAGUUUACAGUCAAUUCUAUAAUCCAAAAUAUUCCUGGUUACCCAAGUUUUGAAAUAAAAAACAUAAUAUACUUAUUCAGAAGCACAUAUAUAUUCAUGCAGAUUUACAAAUUAAAAAAAUACACUACUUAUAUUUACUUAAAAAUAUGGUAAUAUUUCCUUACAUUGAGACAGCCCCCUGGACAAGUAACUAUCGUUUGGGGGGGGGGGGAUUUAAUCGAUGUUUACCCCGCAUGUAUAUUAUGACAUUUGUAGUUCAUAAUCAUAAAAGCAAUGGUUGAGUUCAGAGAGGUGUCAGAUUAGACAGCGGGGAGUCUAAUCUACCAGUAUUAGAUAAAGGGUCGUUUUGUUCUAGAUCAGUAUAGAUAAAACAUAAUGUUUAUGGUUUUCAUUGUGCGUGACAUGUCAUAGUUUUAAGUGGGUGGACUGGUGCGAACACAUGACUACG